UACGUAGGGUGCAAGCGUUGUCCGGAAUUAUUGGGCGUAAAGAGCUCGUAGGCGGCUUGUCGCGUCGGCUGUGAAAACCUGGGGCUCAACCCCGGGCCUGCAGCCGAUACGGGCAAGCUAGAAUUCGGUAGGGGAGACUGGAAUUCCUGGUGUAGCGGUGAAAUGCGCAGAUAUCAGGAGGAACACCGGUGGCGAAGGCGGGUCUCUAGUACGGUACUGACGCUGAGACGCGAAAGCGUGGGGAGCGAACAGG
rnacentral:rRNA from 1 species